rnacentral:rRNA from 1 species
CCUACGGGGGGCAGCAGUGGGGAAUUUUGGACAAUGGGGGCAACCCUGAUCCAGCAAUGCCGCGUGUGUGAAGAAGGCCUUCGGGUUGUAAAGCACUUUUGUCCGGAAAGAAAUCGCGCUGGUUAAUACCUGGCGUGGAUGACGGUACCGGAAGAAUAAGCACCGGCUAACUACGUGCCAGCAGCCGCGGUAAU